rnacentral:rRNA from 1 species
AACGAACGCUGGCGGCAGGCUUAACACAUGCAAGUCGAGCGCCCCGCAAGGGGAGCGGCAGACGGGUGAGUAACGCGUGGGAAUCUACCCAUCUCUACGGAAUAACGCAUGGAAACGUGUGCUAAUACCGUAUACGUCCUUCGGGAGAAAGAUUUAUCGGAGAUGGAUGAGCCCGCGUUGGAUUAGCUAGUUGGUGGGGUAAAGGCCUACCAAGGCGACGCUCCAUAGCUGGUCUGAGAGGAUGAUCAGCCACACUGGGACUGAGACACGGCCAAGACUCCUACGGGCGGCAGCAGUGGGGAAUAUUGGACAACGGGCGCAAGCCUGAUCCAGCCAUGCGGCGUGAGUGAUGAAGGCCCUAGGGUUGUAAAGCUCUUUCACCGGUGAAGAUAAUGACGGUACCCGGAGAAGAAGCCCCGGCUAACUUCGUGCCACCCGCCGCAGUAACAC